rnacentral:rRNA from 1 species
UACGUAGGGUGCAAGCGUUGUCCGGAAUUAUUGGGCGUAAAGAGCUCGUAGGCGGUCUGUCGCGUCUGCUGUGAAAAUCCGGGGCUCAACCCCGGACUUGCAGUGGGUACGGGCAGACUAGAGUGCGGUAGGGGAGAUUGGAAUUCCUGGUGUAGCGGUGGAAUGCGCAGAUAUCAGGAAGAACACCGAUGGCGAAAGCAGCUCUCUGGGACGGUACUGACGCUGAGGCGCGAAAGCGUGGGGAGCGAACAGG